UUAUUGGGCGUAAGCGAGCGCAGGCGGUUUUUUAAGUCUGAUGUGAAAGCCUUCGGCUCAMCCGAAGAAGUGCAUCGGAAACUGGGAAACUUGAGUGCAGAAGAGGACAGUGGAACUCCAUGUGUAGCGGUGAAAUGCGUAGAUAUAUGGAAGAACACCAGUGGCGAAGGCGGCUGUCUGGUCUGUAACUGACGCUGAGGCUCGAAAGUAUGGGUAGCAAACAGGAUUAGAUACCCUGGUAGUCCAUACCGUAAACGAUGAAUGCUAAGUGUUGGAGGGUUUCCGCCCUUCAGUGCUGCAGCUAACGCAUUAAGCAUUCCGCCUGGGGAGUACGGCCGCAAGGCUGAAACUCAAAGGAAUUGACGGGGGCCCGCACAAGCGGUGGAGCAUGUGGUUUAAUUCGAAGCUACGCGAAGAACCUUACCAGGUYUUGACAUACUAUGCAAAUCUAAGAGAUUAGACGUUCCCUUCGGGGACAUGGAUACAGGUGGUGCAUGGUUGUCGUCAGCUCGUGUCGUGAGAUGUUGGGUUAAGUCCCGCAACGAGCGCAACCCUUAUUAUCAGUUGCCAGCAUUAAGUUGGGCACUCUGGUGAGACUGCCGGUGACAAACCGGAGGAAGGUGGGGAUGACGUCAAAUCAUCAUGCCCCUUAUGACCUGGGCUACACACGUGCUACAAUGGAUGGUACAACGAGUUGCGAACUCGCGAGAGUAAGCUAAUCUCUUAAAGCCAUUCUCAGUUCGGAUUGUAGGCUGCAACUCGCCUACAUGAAGUCGGAAUCGCUAGUAAUCGCGGAUCAGCAUGCCGCGGUGAAUACGUUCCCGGGCCUUGUACACACCGCCCGUCACACCAUGAGAGUUUGUAACACCCAAAGUCGGUG
rnacentral:rRNA from 2 species